GGUGGGCGGGGGCCGGGACACCACCCCACCCCAAAGGCAGUGGUUGUCCUCCAGUCCAGUCCCCCUCCCCGGAGCGCACCGUGUGAUUCUGGAGAAGCUGGUGCCCCGCCAUCUGUGCGCCUGUUCCAAGGGGUCGCAGUGACAUCUGCAGCCCCUGCUCCUAACUGCACCUGUGCUCCCCCCUCCCUCCACUUGGGGACACCCCAGCUCUGAUGAUGAUGAUGCUGGUGGUGGAGGCGGUGGUUUAUUGUGUCCUUACUCUGUCAAUGGACAGCCCUGGUAUAUCCAUUUCCCAGGACCAUCGGGAUCCCAUGAUGUCCCCUCGGCCCAUGAGUCCCUUUUUUCUCACUCCCGGGCUGGGCCAUUGUGUUCGAAUCUUGGCCCGACCACUGCCUAGCAGAGGGAGCUUGGGCAGCUGGCAUGGCUCCUCUGGGCCCGGGUUUCCCCAUUUGCCAAGUGAGGGUGGUUGUGACCUUCUCAGAGGGCUGAUGUCUCCCAAUGCUCUGUGUCCUGAGCGGUUUCUGUGAAUCAUCAUGGCAUGUCCCCGGGAGGCGGUGGAACUCCGUCCUAUUGUGCAGAAGGCUUAACUGAGGUUCAGAAAAGUGUGCACCUGGCCCAGAGCCACACACAGAGCGACAGACUCAGGAAUGAAAC